rnacentral:lncRNA from 1 species
GUGGAAGUUAAACAGAGUGACAUCUUGCUUUGGCUGAUGGACAGUUUGGGGCACUUGUGGAGCCAGAAAGCCGGUCUUCCUGUUCCUGGCUAGAACCCUCUUCUGCUAUAGUGAUGGAACAGUGGUCUUCAGAAACAAUGCCCGUCAUCUCCACUUCUGUGAACAUGUCCUGUACGGACAUCCCCCAAGAGGGUCCUGUGGAUUCGAUGCCACUCUGUUGAGGACACCACUGGCUCUAGUCCUGAUCCAGAGGUUGCAUGCGAGCAGAUGAAUUCCACAGCUGGAACUGAGGCACAGAGCAAUAAACACAGUGGAGCCCAUCUCUGCCGUGGUGAGAGGGGGCAUCAGAAGUGACAACAAUGACAAGGACCCAAGGACCGUCCUUCUGACAAGUUUCAGGUAAGAUUCUAUUUAUGCCCCAAUUCUUGUAUUUUUGCAUCCUUGUGGUUGAAAGGGACAUUGAGCUAGAAGGCAAGUGUCGAGAGGGAAAUCUUUCCGUGAGUAGCAUCUGCUGUCAUUUGCCUGCAAACCUGUGUUCUCAGGGCUUUGUGUUACUGGAAUCAUCGGAGGUGAGGUGUGAGCGGGGCUGGGCAGAAGCAUGAGUUGCUUUUUAUGUCUGUCUGGUGACAUUUAUCAUGCUGUAUAAAUUCCUAUCUGGAAAAAAUUCUGUUUGAUGAUAGUUAGCAAUGUUUUGUGCAAUAUAGAGCAUAUGGCUGUGGAGAAUUCAAGUGAUGCUCUUUCAUUCUUAAUUUGUAAUUAUUUUUACACUCAACUGUACUGAGGUCAGAGAGUUUUAAAAAUUAAUGAGAUUUCCUGUGGAGUUCAAAUAGUAAUGCCUACGUGAGCUGCCACAAAAAGAUAAGCUGAUGCUGGUAUAUUUUAAAGAUAGACUUAACUGUCUUUUUUGAACAUACUCCAUUGGAAAUAUUUGGGUUUUCUAUGGUUGAAUGGAUGCUUAAGUAUGUGGGGAUAUUAGUCCUUAAAAAAAUUUUUUUAAUGACCUGGAGAAAUUUUGUCAAAAUUAGACUGUAGAAGAUGAGUGUAUUUUGUAGAAAUAGUGCUAAAACUCAAUCCAUUUAUUGUUAUGGCAUUGGAGAAUAGCUUAUACUUUCGAGGAAAUGACAAAUAACGAGUGAGACACAUGCUAAGAAAAGCUGCAAAUUGCUUUCAUCUGAAGUAAUAGAGAAAAAUUCAGGAGAUACUUAGGGUACAAAAAUUGCUGGCACGAACAAAGAAGCAAGUAUACCCAUAGAUGAGAAUUCUUUGUCACAAAAAUGAAUCCAGGGCAUGGAUUUAGAAGGUUAAGUGAUUUCCACAGUUCUUGGUGCCCCCACAAAAUGGGUGAGUGCAGGCAUUUUAAAACAUACCGAAAACUUUCAUUUCCCACAAUUUAAAAACAUUGUUUGUGUUCCUGAUACAACACGUUGUUUAAAAGAGCGAGAUUGGAAAGCAGUCUGAGUAUACAGUAAUGGGGCUCAAGAUGCUUUUUAUCCUGAGUCCCCCAUUUACAAGACCCAUUCUGAGCUUCCUGCGAUAUAUUGUUAUGUAAAUACUGUGCAGCCAGGGAAAGCAGUACUAUGGAGAUUCAAUUUACUUUGAAAGUUGUUCAUUAUAGCAGGGAUGAAUGUUAUUUAUUUGAUGUGAUUCAAAGGCUGGAAAUGACUUUUUCAUUGUGGCGCCUUUUGUAAGGGGUGCAGGGUGAUCUAAUCUUUUUAAUUUUGGCUUUCACACCAGUGGAGAUGAAAAGAGAUCUGAACUCAUUUAUUGGUUGCUAGGUCUUUCUGGAGACCCAAGUCCUGUUCUUGGUUGCUAUGGCCAGUCUGACCUCAAUCUCUGUGGUUUGGGGGACUUAAGCAGCGUGGGUUUUUUUAUUUUUGUAUUUUGUGUGUGUGUGUAUUGAGGAGCAUGUACCUUGAAUUAUGUCCAAAAUUGUAGCUGAACGUCUUUGUCUGCAAGUGAUAAAUGGUGGCGAACAAUUCAUCAGUUCUUACAAGUAAACACCGCUGUCCCACUAAAAAUAUGUUUUGUUCUGAGUUAAUGGUAUGGAACAAGGCAGCCUCCACACACAGCUAUCUUUUAUUGUAGAGGGGCCUCUGAAACUUGGAGCAAAGUGGAGGAAAUUGGCAUUCAUUUUCGUGUCCAUUAGCAUUUCAUUUGUGAUUCGGACGAUGCGGCUUUAGGUGGAUUGAGGAGGAGAGGGUAGACCUUCCAUUCCCUUGCUUUCUCUUUAGUGGGGGCUGCCUGUGAAACAGGCCUUCUUCCGAUGCCUGGAUUCUGCUAGGGUGCCGAGAAGUCAGGACUAGUUUCUCCUGCCCAGCUUUGCAACUGCCAAGAGCUGAGGCACCAAUAGGUGGGUGUGCUGUGGCUCUGGCGCCUUCGGUCUCCUGCUGGUUCUCGGAGGGAAAGUUGUGUCUGUCAUUGGUGACUCCCAGGAAUGUUUGUGUGCUACUUAAUGGUCCCUGGUCGUCCUUGCAUUCUAGAACCUUGUUAAAAGGAGCCGUGGUGAUUAAGAGGCUGUGGAGUAUACAGCCGUGCUUAGCAGAUGAGCCCUCAUACUUGUCCCCGUUCCCUUAAAAAACUGCUUAAUUGAUGCUGCGGGGAGCACACACUCUGAUGAUAAGACAAUGAUGACAGAAUAGGUAUCAGGAAAGGCUUUUAUUGCUUAUAAGCGCCAUCGGCUUCCUUCCAAGAGAGAUUGCUGCUUUGUGGUAUAGUUUUUUCUUUUAAUAGUAGUGUGCUAAUGGUUUUUAUUCUAACUCGGCCAGCACUGAGUGUCUCCAGGAAAAAGGGGUUCCAUAAGAAGUGGCAUCCUCCUCCAGUUGAAAGGUAAAAACUAAACAUUUUUAAAAGCGCAAUUUUCAAACCAUUUCAUGUACCUCUUGCCGGUAGCAUUAGAAAACUCCUUUCUAAAUGAAACUGUUUAAAAUGUAAACUAUUGUUCUUAACAUAAAAGGUUUAAAGAAGAAACUAUUUCAGGGAAUUUUAUUGUUAGUCAUUUGCUAAAGAUUGCCUCGCUUUUCUGAACAAAAUAGGAUCAGGUACGUUGUGUUUUACCUUCAGCCUGGAAAAUAAGUAGACUUUAUAUUUUAGAGAAAUGAUCAUUUGGGGAUCAAUAAAAAUGAUCUUUAUUUUAUGUAGACUUUAUUUCUAGAACUGGCCGAAAAAACACAAAACAAAACAGGAUUAGGUGAUAUGGAUGGUCUCUUCUGGCUUAAAAACUCUUCAAAGAGUGCUAGUUUUCUGAAAAAAAAAAAAA